rnacentral:rRNA from 1 species
AACGAACGCUGGCGGCAUGCCUAACACAUGCAAGUCGAACGGGAUCCAGGCUUCGGCCUGGUGAGAGUGGCGGACGGGUGAGUAACACGUGGGAACCUGCCUUUUGGUUCGGGAUAACCGCGGGAAACUGCGGCUAAUACCGAAUGCUCCCGAGAGGGGAAAGAUUUAUCGCCAGAAGAGGGGCCCGCGUCCGAUUAGGUAGUUGGUGGGGUAAUGGCCUACCAAGCCGACGAUCGGUAGCUGGUCUGAGAGGAUGAUCAGCCACACUGGGACUGAGAUACGGCCCAGACUCCUACGGGAGGCAGCAGUGGGGAAUAUUGGACAAUGGGGCAACCCUGAUCCAGCAAUGCCGCGUGAGUGAUGAAGGCCUUAGGGUUGUAAAGCUCUUUUGCCAGGGAAGAUGAUGACUGUACCUGGAGAAUAAGCCCCGGCUAACUUCGUG